rnacentral:rRNA from 1 species
ACGCAAUCUCUACUCAAGUCUAAAAUGACUCUCGGCAACGGAUAUCUCGGCUCUUGCAUCGAUGAAGAACGUAGCGAAAUGCGAUGCUUGGUGUGAAUUGCAGAAUCCCGCGAACCAUCAAUUCUUUGAACGCAAGUUGCGCCCGAAGCCAUUCGGCCGAGGGCACGCCUGCCUGGGCGU